UUUUAAUGACUGAAAGAUUAUUCUCUUUUUUUUUCAGUUCCCAAGCCCUCACUAUUUGCGUUUCUUGUAACGUUCCGGACAAACGUGUUUUAUGAUUUCGUUCCUUGAAUUUCCGUCCCGUAACUCCCGUACAAAUAUCGUUUCAAGUUCCAAGUGGAACGCAGAGUGGAACGUGUUACUUUUGUCGCGAGGAGCGCUACACUCCGCUACUCGAUGGUAGCGCUACAAUGGAACGGUUCCUAAAGUAACGACCCAUCUCUAGUCAGUGAACACCGAUUAAAGGGCACGGUGUGAUCAACUAAAGAUGAUUAAUAAGACAAAAUUUAGAGAACAUUUUAUUACAAAAGAUAGUAACAGAAGUUUUAAUGUUACAGGAGGAAAUCGAAACACCAGAAGCCUUUAAAGUAUUUUCGUUAUUAAGAGCAGUGGAAACAUGGUAACUAUUUGGUUUCGACGGCCCUGGUUCUGCAGAGAAAAUAAUCCUGAAUGUAACCUUCGGCAACUGACGAAGAUUUCCAUCCACCAUGCCGUUUGAUUGAUAAAAAGUCACUUCCUUUAUUUGCUAAUAAUGUAGCACUGCUUCUCCUGAAGCAGUGACCACUGUAAUUUUGAGGAUUUUGCAGCUUCAGAUACCCAGCAAUUAAAGAUGGUACUCUGCCAAUAGUGUUAAUACCGACGGGGGAAUUUAUACAUUUUCCAUCACGGAAUACAAACCAUAACAAUGUCAUCUUUGAAAACAACAUCAUCAACUAACAUCUUGCAUAAUUCUCCCCUGCGGCACGCGCCAGAGAUGCCGAUAACUAACAGUGCCUGCAAUAUUAAGAAUACAUUUUCAAUGUGUCAAUAUGAACUAAUAAAAUAAAAAUUACCUUCAUUAGUAAAUAGUCUCUAUUCGGUGCAGCGCUUAAA